UACGUAGGUGGCAAGCGUUGUCCGGAAUUAUUGGGCGUAAAGCGCGCGCAGGUGGUUCCUUAAGUCUGAUGUGAAAGCCCACGGCUCAACCGUGGAGGGUCAUUGGAAACUGGGGAACUUGAGUGCAGAAGAGGAAAGUGGAAUUCCAAGUGUAGCGGUGAAAUGCGUAGAGAUUUGGAGGAACACCAGUGGCGAAGGCGGCAUCCUGGACCGACAUUGACGCUGAGGCGCGAAAGCCAGGGGAGCAAACGGG
rnacentral:rRNA from 1 species